GAUCAGACGUCUGAAUAAGGCCCUGCAGGCGGCGCUGCAUUCCACCCGGCCUCUUGAAGAGGCCAACGAAACACAAGUACAGAUCUGGAAACAGCAGGCUGAGGUCUACAAGGAAGACUUU